GAAGUGGGCUGGACGGUCGCUGCUGUGGAGGUCUCCGUGACUGAAGCAGGGGAGGAAAGUCCGGGCUUCAUAGGGCAAGGUGCCAGGUAACGCCUGGGCGGCGAAAGCCGACGGCAAGUGCAGCAGAGAGUAGACCGCCUCAUUCGUGAGGUAAGGGUGAAAGGGUGCGGUAAGAGCGCACCGCGUGUCUGGUAACAGUUCACGGCAAGGUAAACCCCACCAGAAGCAAGACCAAAUAGGAAUCCUGAGGCACGGCCCGUGCUGGAUUCGGGUAGGUCGCUUGAGCGUAUGAGUGAUUGUGCGCCUAGAGGAAUGAUCGUCCUCGACAGAACCCGGCUUAUAGGCUCACUUCUAAG
rnacentral:RNase_P_RNA from 1 species